rnacentral:tRNA from 1 species
GUGGAUGUGCCGGAGUGGUUAUCGGGCAUGACUCGAAAUCAUGUGGGCUCUGCCCGCGCAGGUUCGAAACCUGCCAUCCACG